rnacentral:rRNA from 1 species
AGGCCCUGCNUUUGUGGGGUGCUCUGAGUGGCGAACGGGUGAGUAACACGUGAGUAACCUGCCCUUGACUUUGGGAUAACUUCAGGAAACUGGGGCUAAUACCGGAUAGGAGCUCCUGCUGCAUGGUGGGGGUUGGAAAGUUUCGGCGGUUGGGGAUGGACUCGCGGCUUAUCAGCUUGUUGGUGGGGUAGUGGCUUACCAAGGCUUUGACGGGUAGCCGGCCUGAGAGGGUGACCGGCCACAUUGGGACUGAGAUACGGCCCAGACUCCUACGGGAGGCAGCAGUGGGGAAUAUUGCACAAUGGGCGGAAGCCUGAUGCAGCAACGCCGCGUGCGGGAUGACGGCCUUCGGGUUGUAAACCGCUUUCGCCUGUGACGAAGCGUGAGUGACGGUAAUGGGUAAAGAAGCACCGGCUAACUACGUGCCAGCAGCCGCGGUGAUACGUAGGGUGCGAGCGUUGUCCGG